rnacentral:rRNA from 1 species
UCUUGGUCAUUUAGAGGAAGUAAAAGUCGUAACAAGGUUUCCGUAGGUGAACCUGCGGAAGGAUCAUUAGUGAAUUUUUAGCGUACCUGUUUAACCAGGGCGUGACCUCUCACUUUUCAAACUCUGUGCACCAUUAUGUGGCGAGGAAAGGAUCGGGCUAACCCCCUUUCUGGAACUUGCGGCUCAUUUUAUUAAACAUUAAAGUCAAUGUAUGUCAAAGAAAUUUAAUAACAAAAAAAACUUUCAACAACGGAUCUCUUGGCUCUCGCAUCGAUGAAGAACGCAGCGAAAUGUGAUAAGUAAUGUGAAUUGCAGAAUUCAGUGAAUCAUCGAAUCUUUGAACGCAUCUUGCGCUCGCUGGUAUUCCGGCGAGCAUGUCUGUUUGAGUGUCGUGAACUCUUCAACCCCCAAUUUUUCUUUAUUGAGAUUUUGGCGCGGCUUGGUUUCUGAACGCCUUGCUGGAUACACCUUCCCCGCUUGCGGGGUCGGCAAUCGAAGCUCGUUCGUAAUACAUUAGCAUCCUAAUCUUUGAGAUCAGAUUGACUCGGCGUAAUAGACUAUUCGCUGAGGACAUGGCGCCCCGUAAAAAAGGGAGUUGUGGCUGGACUUGGAAAGUUGGAAGCUUACAAAACCCGACAAUUUAGUCAAUCAUUUUUAAGAUUAGACCUCAGAUCAGGCAGGAUUACCCGCUGAACUUAAGCAUAUCAAUAAGCGGAGGA